ACAUCAUAUGGAGAAAAAGGUGGAACGCCGAGGCGUUUCUUAAAAGGGAAGAACGGUGAAAAUCCGUCGCGGUCCCGCCACUGUAAAUGGAGAGCGAGCUUUGAGCCACUGUGUCAAACGGGAAGGCUUAAGCAACUUGGUCAUCAUGAUCUCGUAUUUGCGUCUGAUCCAUAAGUCAGGAGACCUGCCUUUUUCAACAGCACGAC
rnacentral:ncRNA from 2 species